rnacentral:rRNA from 1 species
AACGAACGCUGGCGGCAGGCUUAACACAUGCAAGUCGAACGCCCCGCAAGGGGAGUGGCAGACGGGUGAGUAACGCGUGGGAACAUACCCUUUCCUGCGGAAUAGCUCCGGGAAACUGGAAUUAAUACCGCAUACGCCCUACGGGGGAAAGAUUUAUCGGGGAAGGAUUGGCCCGCGUUGGAUUAGCUAGUUGGUGUGGUAAAGGCCUACCAAGGCGACGAUCCAUAGCUGGUCUGAGAGGAUGAUCAGCCACAUUGGGGCUGAGACACGGCCCAAACUCCUACGGGAGGCAGCAGUGGGGAAUAUUGGACAAUGGGCGCAAGCCUGAUCCAGCCAUGCCGCGUGAGUGAUGAAGGCCUUAGGGUUGUAAAGCUCUUUCACCGAUGAAGAUAAUGACGGUAGUCGGAGAAGAAGCCCCGGCUAACUUCGUG